AACGAACGCUGGCGGCAUGCCUAACACAUGCAAGUCGAACGGGAAGCCAGGUGCUUGCACUUGGUGGAGAGUGGCGCACGGGUGAGUAACGCGUGGACAACGUGCCUUUUGGUUGGGGAUAACCCGAGGAAACUUGGGCUAAUACCGAAUAAGUUCAUUAGAGGUUCGCCGAAGAUGAAGAAAGGGGGGCAACUCCCGCCGAUAGAUCGGUCCGCGUCCCAUCAGCUUGUUGGUGAGGUAACGGCUCACCAAGGCAUCGACGGGUAGCUGGUCUGAGAGGAUGAUCAGCCACACUGGGGCUGAGACACGGCCCAGACUCCUACGGGAGGCAGCAGUGGGGAAUAUUGGGGCAAUGGGGCGCAAGCCUGACCCAGCAAUGCCGCGUGUGUGAUGAAGGCCCUCGGGUUGUAAAGCACUGUCAGGAGGGAAGAAAAAACUUGGGUAACGCCAGGUCUUGACGGUACCUCCAAAGGAAGCACCGGCUAACUCUGUGCCAGCAGCCGCGGUAAUACAGAGGGUGCGAGCGUUGUUCGGAAUUACUGGGCGUAAAGCGAGUGUAGGCGGCGCUGUAAGUCGGAUGUGAAAGCCUCGGCUCGACCGAGGAAGUGCAUUCGAUACUGCAGUGCUUGAGUGUCGGAGGGGGUGGCGGAAUUCCCGGUGUAGAGGUGAAAUUCGUAGAUAUCGGGAGGAACAUCUGUGGCGAAGGCGGCCACCUGGACGACAACUGACGCUGAGACUCGAAAGCGUGGGUAGCAAACAGGAUUAGAUACCCUGGUAGUCCACGCCGUAAACGAUGAGUGCUAGACGCCGCGGGUAUUGACCCCUGCGGUGUCGAAGCUAACGCGUUAAGCACUCCGCCUGGGGAGUACGGUCGCAAGAUUAAAACUCAAAGGAAUUGACGG
rnacentral:rRNA from 1 species